CGUGGGUAACCUGCCUUACACAGGGGGAUAACACCUGGAAACAGAUGCUAAUACCGGAUAACAACACUAGACGCAUGUCUAGAGUUUAAAAGAUGGUUCUGCUAUCACUCUUGGAUGGACCUGCGGUGCAUUAGCUAGUUGGUAAGGUAACGGCUUACCAAGGCAAUGAUGCAUAGCCGAGUUGAGAGACUGAUCGGCCACAUUGGGACUGAGACACGGCCCAAACUCCUACGGAAGGCAGCAG
rnacentral:rRNA from 1 species